rnacentral:rRNA from 1 species
UACGUAGGGGCCGAGCGUUGUCCGGAGUUAUUGGGCGUAAAGCGCGCGCAGGCGGCCUCGCGCGCCCGACGUGAAAGCCCCCGGCUUAACCGGGGAGGGUCGUUGGGGACGGCGGGGCUUGAGGGCGGGAGAGGUCGGUGGAAUUCCCGGUGUAGUGGUGAAAUGCGUAGAGAUCGGGAGGAACACCAGUGGCGAAGGCGGCGAUCUGGGAAGAUACUGACGCUGAGGUGCGAAAGCGUGGGGAGCAAACAGG